UACAGAGACUGCAAGCGUUAUUCGGAUUCACUGGGCGUAAAGGUGCGCAGGUGGCCAAGUGUGUUAGGCGUGAAAGCCCGGGGCUUAACCCCGGAAUUGCACCUAAAACUACUUGGCUAGAGCAUUGGAGAGGGGAGCAGAAUUCACGGUGUAGCAGUGAAAUGCGUAGAUAUCGUGAGGAAUACCAGAGGCGAAGGCGGCUCCCUGGACAAUUGCUGACGCUCAGGCACGAAAGCGUGGGGAGCAAAAGGG
rnacentral:rRNA from 1 species